rnacentral:rRNA from 1 species
AUGUGUGGUCAGGUGAUUUUGUCGGAUAAGCCUGACAAAGUUAAAUGGUUACUUACAAACUCCGGUAGCUUUUCCGUUAAAUCUCUGUAUCACUAUCUUAUAGUUAGACAAGUUGUUUUCCCUUUUAAAAAACUAUGAAGGAUGAAGAUGCCUCUUAAAGUUAAGGCAUUCUCUUGGUUAGUAAUCAAAAAUAGGAUUCUGACCAAGGACAAUCUGAGUAAAACAGGCUGGAAAGGUGCUAAGUUUUGUGGAUUUUGUGACUGUGAAGAGAGUGUGAAUCAUUUAUUUUUCUCUUGUUCCUUAGCUAAGUUCUUGUGA